ensembl:lncRNA
GUUGUCUCCAUCAUAUACUAAAGCUGAGCCAUGUUAAAUCUGUUAAAACCUGAGGCAGUUUUAAGCUCUGAGUCACAGGAUGAAUAAAAGAAACAUGAUAAAUCAGACUUUUAGAAGAUGGCGGGUCGAUCAGCAGCUUUUUGUUCCCUGCCAAAUUUACAUUUUAGAGAGGUAAUACCUCGUUCUGAGUCGAGGAGCUUUGGAGAUUUAUUCAUUUUUGUCUCGGCCCACAUUUUAUUGACAGCCAGCACGAAACCAAGCACAGGAUUCAUUUUGUUCAACCGGCGUGUGACCUUUUGUGGUUUAAAUUAAGCCUGUGAAUAAGUAUGCUUCUUUUACAGACCCGUCCAGGCUUUUCUUUCGACCAGGCAAUUUAAAGUUACCGACCCAACACUUAAAUUGUAUCUGUCUCAAAAAAAGGAGCCAUAUUGAAAAAAAGGAUUUUAUUACCAUCCACUGCUGAAAGGAACAGACUCAAAAGUCAGAAAGAAAACUUGUGUUUACCGUGGAGGAUAUGUGGAAUCGCGGGGAUGGAGUGCAAAACACUGUCAAGGUUUUGGAUCAACGCGAGCAAUUUCAAGUGGCAUUAUUGUCAAGGUACAGUGUUCUUUUUCAUGACUGUGUUCCAUGUGAGAAUCAGUAAGAUUACUGCGGUAAAAAGUGGUGUGAUGUGAACGCAACCAGGGGAGGGAAGUAUCGGUGCCAAUCAUUUAGGGAAACCUACCAG